AGCGAACGCUGGCGGCAGGCUUAACACAUGCAAGUCGAGCGGGCAUCCUUGUGGUGUCAGCGGCAGACGGGUGAGUAACGCGUGGGAACGUGCCCUUCGGUUCGGAAUAACUCAGGGAAACUUGAGCUAAUACCGGAUACGUGCGAGAGCAGAAAGGUUUAUCUGCCGAAGGAUCGGCCCGCGUCUGAUUAGCUAGUUGGUGAGGUUAUGGCUCACCAAGGCGACGAUCAGUAGCUGGUCUGAGAGGAUGAUCAGCCACACUGGGACUGAGACACGGCCCAGACUCCUACGGGAGGCAGCAGUGGGGAAUAUUGGACAAUGGGGGCAACCCUGAUCCAGCCAUGCCGCGUGAGCGAUGACGGCCUUAGGGUUGUAAAGCUCUUUUCUCCGGGACGAUAAUGACGGUACCGGAGGAAUAAGCCCCGGCUAACUUCGUG
rnacentral:rRNA from 1 species